UUCUAUUUUUAAACCUGGAAUUAUGUCCAUAUGGCAUGUUACUGUCUGGACAUAAUUAGAACAUCGGGAGACGGCCAAUGGAGCUGGAAAAUGAUUGCUUGGAUUUGUACCUACAUCAAGUACAAUAAACCCCCUAAAAAGAAAUGAGCCAAGAAUGAAGACAGUUGGCAUAUUUAUGUCGACGGGGCCAUUAAUUAUUCCUGAUUAUAAUUUUGGACAAAGGCCGACAUAUCCGGCGUUGCCUUAAUUUUCUAAAACAGCUGUCAAAGAGGGAGGCCCCCCUCCUUUCCACGUACGUCUGCUUUACAUAUGUUUACUGUGGCGUUGUAGCUCAGUUAACAGGCAAAAGUGUUUCUUAUUUCAUGAGCCUACAAGUUCAGUUAUCUAGCAGUGAUUGAUCAAGACGUACGGGCGAAUAAUUGACGGCGAAUUGUAACUUGACUAUUAGAUUCUAGGCACGUUGGAUUCAAGUUUCAGGUCAUGGCAUUUCCGCUGAACUCGAGUUGUCUCGUUCACCCAAACUUUACAACAGAAACGAUAAUCGGAAAACUCAAUUAAGAGCUGACAUUUGACGUUAUUCAUACUUGCUCAAAAACAUCGAGAAGGACUCCAUCAGAGCAAUAUGCUUUUGGCGGGCUUGGUUAUUUUGUAAUUGAAUCAUUAACGACGUCUCGAGAAAAAAAUGAAUAAUGAAAUCAGGUAUGAUGUAAUUUUACCAUGGAAGCCCCAAUGGGUGUAGAUAUGCACUCAUUUUAAUAAUUUGAUGCUCGAAGAAACAAUUUCUUCAUUGCUAAUAGUCUGGGGCAACUAGUGAUGCGCGAAAACAUAUUAACUUGGCACAGAGCCUCGCUAAUUGUCAAAGGAAGUCGGCCAUACUAUAGGCCAAACUAAUGGCGCUAGUGAGUACAUUUUCUCAUUUUUAGUUUCACUCUUUAUCAUUGUGUUGUUAGUAUAGAAUUAUGAGCUUGAGAUCGAAUACACAAAUUGGGGUUUGUCUUA